rnacentral:rRNA from 1 species
AUGGACCUUGAAGAGCGACGUCUCCUGGUCGACCUCGCCCGGAAAUCGCAGGAUUGCCCGUCGUUUUCCUCUCGGUGGACGGGUGCAGCCGCCUACCACCGCCCGGGACGGCCGUCCGACGCGCGAGAUAUUUGCCCGACGCGUGGGCGCACCGGACCACAGUAUUCCAACGGCCUUGCCGUGCCCGUCCCCACGCACCAUAUAUACCUGAGCCUUUCACUCUUCUCUCCACCCAACUCGCUCGCUCUACUCUUCUUCCUCCCUCUCCCCGCAGCACCAAAAGCAGCAAGCAAGCAAGUGCACCACGAAGAUAAUCUCUGCUCAGCAUUUGUGCUCGAAAGCCACCUACACACACGUACUAUGGCGGCAUCAGUGGCCUGCUCCUUCUUCUUCGACGACGAGCUGCUCGGCGAGCCCGGCAUGCCGGCGAUGGACGCGUGCGCGCUCUGCGCCAAGCCGCUGGCGGGCGACAGCGACGUCUUCAUGUACAGAGGAGACACGCCCUUCUGCAGCGAGGAGUGCCGCCACGAGCAGAUGCACCUCGACGCCGUCUGUGCCAGGCAGGGCGCGCGGAGGCUGCAGCGGUUCUCAGCUGAGACGGAGUCCCACAGUGGGCAGCGACAGUCCAGGAAUGUGUCCGUCGCGAGCUAA